rnacentral:rRNA from 1 species
UACGUAGGGGGCAAGCGUUGUCCGGAAUCAUUGGGCGUAAAGAGCGCGUAGGCGGCCCAGUAAGUCCGCUCUGAAAGUCAGGGGCUCAACCGUGGAACUGCUGGGUAUACUGGUUGUCUUGAGCCAGCUAGGGGCGAGCGGAACAGACGGUGGAGCGGUGAAAUGCGUAGAUAUCGUCUGGAACGCCGAAGGUGAAAACAGCUCGCUGGGGCUGCGCUGACGCUGAGACACGAAAGCCAGGGGAGCGAACGGG